ACCCACGAACUGUGAGAUCAUGACCUAAGCCGAGAUCGAGAGUCAGAUGCUCAACCGACUGAGCCUCCCCACCCCACCCCUCCCCAAGGCGCCCCCAGGCCUGAGGAUUAUCGGAUCUGCUAUCACCGGGUCCAAACAGAAGAGGACCUUGCCCCGCCCCCUGCCCUGGCCGCAGAACCUUCUCGCUUGCUCUGGUCCUCACUCGAAACUCUCGCCUCCUGUAUAUCUUUACAACGACCCCCAAUUUUUUACCUGCAUGAUCGCAACCUCACCCUUAGCAGUGGCGUCUGGGAUGGACUGAUUGUAUUUCUCCUUGUGUGUAAGUAAAACAAAUACUUGAUUGAAAAUAAGAACUUUCCAUCUGAACGCUCCCUGAAAUACCCAGGGCCCUGCAGUCCCCCCUGGGGACACGCUCGCAGGGGCGAGGAGGGGCAGGACGGGCACAGCUGUUUGACCGCACUUUUCAGUUCUUGUUUCUUGGAACCAGCUGAAAUCUGACUCUGAGCCCUUGGCCACCAAGGUGGGCAGAACUUUGAUUUCGGCUGUUAUGGCAGAUGGGCCACCCUAGGUUCUUCUAGAACUAAUGCCAGUCCCACAUCGGGGGAGGGGGGGUCUAGUUACCAUCCCCCUGAACCUGGAUGGACCCACGGCUCCCCUGUAGUCAGCGGAAAGCCACAGAAGUGACUCUGUGCCACGGACAGUGACGCCAGGUGCACCUUGUGAGAGCCCGAGGCACCGGGUAGGCAAUCUGACGCCCCUGAAGUGACCAGGCCCCAGGAGAGCCCUCUUCUGGGACCAGGCGUAAGCGACAGAGGCUUACGGGACCCAGGUCACCCCCAGCCCGGAGCCCCAGCCAUCUCGGGGUAAAAACAAGCGGCCUCACUGUGGGUUUGUUCUAAAAAAAUUCUUUUUUAAUUUAAUGUUUAUUUUUGAGAGAGACAGAGACAGAGCGUGAGCAGGGGAGGGACAGAGAAGGAGACAAAGAAUCCGAAGCAGGCUCCAGGCUCUGAGCCAUCAGCACAGAGCCGGCCGCGGGGCUCAAACUCAAACCGUGGGUUUGUUUUUUUCUUUUUGAAAACUCCCGCCCCGCAGGAACCAUCUGCCUUCAAGACAAAUGGUUGUUUUGUGCCACCAAGUUUGGGGGGUUUCUUACACGGCAGUAGGUGUGGGAGACCCUUCCCGGUGGCCUUCUUUAGGUGACCGUGGGGUCUCUCCCUCAGGACCCAUUGUCCCCUCGCCCCCAGCGGAAAGCUGCCUUGUGUCCAGGCUCUGGAGGUGGACAUCGAGGCUCGGGGCCAACGUUGCCCACACAGUCCCCACGUCGGCACAGUCUCGGGCUCGGGGCAGGGGCCUGUGUGACUCAUUUGGAGCCGAUGACAGUGGAGAGGAUAUUUGAUGGGAACUUUUGCAUUUCAGAUUUUAUUUUUAAGUAAUCUCCACGCGCAGCGUGGGGCUCGAACUCACAACCCCGAGACCAAGAGUCGCACGCUCCACCCACCCGGCCAGCCAGGCGCCCCCGAUGGGACCUUCUGAGAAAACGAGGAUUUCUCCCUCUUUGGAGACAGAUUCCACAGGUGCCCCCACACACGUACACAGCCCCCCACCCCACGGCCAAAGAAGAGGCGCUGACGAAUUCGCCUUGACCAUGAGAGGGAGCCAGCUUUCGGAGGAAAGUUACGAGUGUCGAAACCAGAUUCGAGGCAGAAAACAGCAACAGCAACAAACCAGGCCCCAAAAGGGAGAGCUGCGCCCCUAAAUCAAACCCAGCCUGAAGCUGUCUCUAAGUGACCGCAGGAUGCCCUUGCGUACAGAAGUGAGCCCUGCUCCGCGCGAGGGACGUCGGCGUGGGAAGCAAGCUAACAGAAGUGCGAAGAAUGAGAGAGGGGCAGAGAGAAGUAGCCAGGGCCCUGGUGACGUCAGAAACCUCUGGAAGCCCUCUCCACCUCUGCACUGCUCAGUUAUUAAAAUAUCUUAUUGUCCUGUGUUCCUCCCCCAUCUUGUGACGAUGUGAGACAAUGAGAUGCCCCCGUGGGGAGGUGACGUGCGUACCUGACGGAGCGCUGGGCUACCGUUGACCUUCUGAGGCUGAGUCAGAAGAAGGAC